rnacentral:rRNA from 1 species
UACAGAGGUCCCAAGCGUUGUUCGGAUUCACUGGGCGUAAAGGGUGCGCAGGUGAGUUGGCAAGUUUGAUGUGAAAGCCCCGGGCUUAACCCGGGAAUGGCAUUGAAUACUGCUGAUCUGGAGGAUCGGAGGGGGGGGACUGGAAUUCUUGGUGUGCAGUGAAAUGCGUAGAUAUCAAGAGGAACACCAAUGGCGAAGGCGAGUCCCUGGACGAUACCUGACACUGAGGCACGAAAGCCAAGGGAGCAAACAGG